rnacentral:lncRNA from 1 species
UGCCCAAGCUGCAAAUAUGUUAAUGAGUCAUAUGCAAUUACUGUGUAAUUGACUUGACUACAUCAAGGCUUUAUUAGAAAAGAAAAAUGCAUCACCAUUAAGUAUAAGACUAAAUAUCAAAAUCACUUCAGUUGUCAGCUAGGUACCAUUUAUUUUCAUGAUUUAAGAAUAUUAAACAAAAGGGGGAGAUAAGUGUCAUAGACUUCAGUCUAAGGAAGUUCGAAUCAUCCAUGUUAUGAGUUUUGUAUGAUUCAGAAGUACGCAGUGUGAGAUUGGAGUCAAGUAUUUACUGCUUACAACUCUCAUUAAAAAUAGAUAAAUGGGUUUGAUUGCACCUGAGUCUAAGUGUGGCAGCUCUCACUGGUGAGCCACGCUGAACAUCGCGUCGCCUCGUUCCAAGUAGAUUUCACCCCAAUUCUUAUUGAGAUUUGGAAAAGCUGAAAGCAGCAUUUACCCACUGCAGCUCACGUUCUGGAUGCAGAAUAGGUUCCUCGGAUUAAAUGCUCUUGAGUGAGGGACCUCUGGGUGGUUUAGUGGUUGAGCAUCUGCCUUUGGCUCAGGUCAUGAUCCCAGGGUCUUAGGAUCGAGUUCCACAUCAGGAUCCCUGCAGGGAGAGGGAGCCUGCUUCUCCUUCUGCCUGUGUCUGUCUGUCUCUGUGUCUCUUAUGAAUAAAUAAAUGAAUUAUUUAAAAAAAUGAUUCUUGAGUGAGAUUUAUUAAGUGAUAACGCUGAAACCAUUUUCUUGUUCCUUUUGAUGUCUUCCUGGCUAAUGAGGUCAUGGAAAUUUGAAGAUUUUCUGCCUUGUUAAUUGUCCUUCUUGUUUGUUUUGUUUGGAUAGGGAGUCGUAUGAGAGGCAGCAGUGAUAUUCACCCCUUGAUACUGGACCUCUGAUUCCUGUCUUCAUGAUCGCACCCUAUGGAUCUGUUCCUGAUCAUAGACCUCAUUUGUGGUGGUUCGUCUAGACAGUAACCUUCCAGUUUUCCUUAACGUUUCUUCACCCAACCUGGGUCUCCAGCACUGCCUCCUGCAUCCAAGUCAGGUGUGCUCUUCUGGAUCCUUCUCUGACCUAUCAUUUUGACAUGGGUGAGUUGCAACAUCUCAGGCUACCUUGUUCAGGAUAUACUCAGUUCUUCUUGUGGAUAAUUCUA